rnacentral:rRNA from 1 species
UACAGAGGUCUCGAGCGUUGUUCGGAUUCAUUGGGCGUAAAGGGUGCGUAGGUGGCGCUGUAAGUCGGGGUGUGAAAUCCUGAGGCUUAACCUCGGAACUGCAUUCGAUACUGCGGCGCUUGAGGACUGGAGAGGAGACUGGAAUUCAUGGUGUAGCAGUGAAAUGCGUAGAGAUCAUGAGGAAGACCAGUGGCGAAGGCGGGUCUCUGGGCCGAUACUGACGCUGAGGAGCGAAAGCUAGGGGAGCGAACGGG